rnacentral:rRNA from 1 species
AUGACCCACAAUCUACGAAAAACACACCCAAUCAUUAAAAUCAUUAAUCAAUCAUUCAUCGAUCUCCCAGCCCCGUCAAACAUCUCAGCUUGAUGAAACUUUGGCUCCCUCUUAGGAGUCUGUUUAAUUAUACAAGUAUUAACCGGCCUAUUUUUAGCAAUACACUACACAGCAGACAUCUCAUCAGCAUUCUCAUCAGUCGCCCAUAUUUGCCGAGAUGUCCAGUACGGAUGACUAAUACGAAACCUCCACGCUAACGGAGCCUCAAUAUUUUUUAUCUGUAUUUACCUACACAUUGGCCGGGGCCUGUAUUAUGGCUCCUACAUGUACAAAGAGACAUGAAACAUCGGGGUCGUAUUACUAUUAUUAGUCAUAGCCACAGCAUUCGUAGGAUAUGUC